GAUUCCCGAGCUGCGCCUUGCAGCGGGUGUCUGUCUGGGAGAUGCAUUCGCAGGGAUCUCGGUUCUCUGCAGACGAACGCGGAGCCGGUAAUUCGCUGCUGUGCGGGUGACAGCGCCGGGAGCUGGACUGGAACUGCUGACAGGGGCUGAAAUUCAGCUCACCAAUGAGGGCUUGAAGCAGCACUCGCAUCCUCCUUGGAAUGUCACCGUGUCCUGUCCCUGCACCACUUUGCUGACACCUCAGUUGUGCUUCAAGUGCAUCAGGUCUCAGCCAGCUCGUGACACUUCUGCUCAGCGUGGCCAUGGACAGGUGAACCCUGAGGUCUUUCCCUUCCCUGGCCUGGGCUUACACUUGUCUGGAGAAUUUCUGUGAACAGGAGAAACACUGGAGUGAGAGCAUCCCUGGACAAGCUGGAGCUGCUCCUCCUCACCUCCGUGGUCCCAGAGCACAAGGGGCCUCUGUGCUCUGCUCCCGCCCUGCAGGGAGAUUUCAGGACGCAACAAUAAGAUUUGGGAACCAUCCCUCUUUGGGCAAGAGUGCCACAGGGAGAGGCUCACUGUGGGUGGGAUGGAUCCCUCUCCCAGUUCCCAUUCCAGUUUCCCAGUCUCAACAACAGGG